AUGUUCGGGUGGAUGACGCCGCCGCAGCUCAAGGGGAAGGUGGUGCUCAUGCGCAGGAACCUCCUCGACUUGAACCACUGGCAGCAACCCCUCAGCCACGACACCUGGGACGAGGUCACCACCAAAGGCGUCACCUGCCAGCUCAUCAGCUCCACCGUCGCCGACCCCAAUGACGAGAGUGGCACCAGGGGUCUCUUGGGCGAAGAGGAGCGGGUUGAACACUGGGUGCUCCACUUGCCCCCGAUCAACCACGGCGAUACCACCUACGAUGUCACCUUUGACUGGGACGUGAAGAAGCAAGGCAUUCCUGGCGCCGUCAUCGUUCGAAACUACCACGCCACCCAGUUUCUCCUCAAGACCAUCACCAUCGACGACGUCCCCGGCCACGCCGGUCCCAUCGUCUUCGUCGCAAACUCAUGGGUCUACAACACCAACAAGUACCACUACGACCGAGUCUUCUUCACCAACGACACGUACCUGCCAAGCGAGAUGCCGAUGCUGUUGCAGCCGUUCCGGGAGGACGAGCUCCGGAUCCUGCGAGGGGAUGACCCCAGGCAGAAGAACGGCGCCUAUGAGGAGCACGACCGCGUCUACCGCUACGACCUCUACAACGACCUCGGCGAUCCAGACCACAAGAACCCUCGCCCCACCCUCGGCGGCCCCGACAGCUUGUACCCAUACCCGCGCCGAGGCCGCACCGGCAGGAAGCCCAUGGUGACCGACCCCACGUGCGAGAGCAGGAACGUCUUGCCUGUGCUCCAACAGUUCUAUGUCCCCCGCGACGAGAACUUCAACCACGUCAAGAAAGCCGACUUCACGGCCUACCUCAUCAAGGCCAUCUCCGGCGGCAUCCUCCCCCUCCUCCGCCAGCAGUUCGACUCCGUCUCGCCGCGCGAGUUCGACGACUUUGAGGACAUGUACAAGCUCUACGAAGGCGGGCUUAAGAUCCCCGACAUCCCCGCCCUGGACGAGCUGUUCAAAUCGUUCCCGCCGCUGAGGAGCAUCAUGCCGGCCGGCGGGGACUUCCUCCUCAAGAUGCCCAUGCCGCAUGUCAUCAAGGAGGACAAGCUCGCGUGGCGGACGGACGAGGAGUUCGCCCGGGAGAUGCUCGCCGGCCUCAACCCACACAUCAUCACCCGCCUGAACGUGUUCCCUCCAAGGAGCACGCUUGAGGGGUACGGCGACCAGACGAGCAAGAUCACGGUGGAGCACAUCCAACACAACCUCGGCAAGCUCAAUGUUGACAAGGCAAUCGACGCCAAGAGGCUCUUCAUCCUAGACCACCACGACAACUUCAUGCCUCACCUGCUAAAGAUCAACAGCCUCCCAAACACAUUCGUCUACGCCACCAGGACGCUGCUCUUCCUGCAAGACGACGGCACUCUCAAGCCAAUCGCCAUCGAGCUCAGCAUGCCACUACUUAACGACCUCGGCACCAAAGUGGUCGGCGCGGACAGCAAGGUCUACACGCCCCCCUCCAGUGGCUCGGAGUCGGAGAGGGCUGUCCAGGACACCAUCUGGCAGCUGGCCAAGGCCUACGCCGCCGUGAACGAUUCCGCGUGGCACGGCCUCAUCAGCCACUGGCUCCAUACGCACGCCGUCAUCGAGCCAUUCGUGAUCGCCACCAACCGGCAGCUCAGCGUCACGCACCCCAUCCACAAGCUCCUGCAGCCACACUACCGCGACACCAUGACCAUCAACGCCCUGGCACGCCAGGUCCUCAUCAGCGCCGGUGGCUUCUUCGAGAUGACCGUCUGUCCAGGUGAGCACGCACUGAGAAUCUCCUCUGAAGUCUAUAGGAACUGGAACUUCACCGAGCAGGCACUGCCGGUAGACCUGAUCAAGAGGGGUGUGGCGAAGGAGGACACGGAGAGCCCGUGCGGAGUGUCGCUGCACAUCAAGGACUAUCCGUACGCGGUGGAUGGGUUGGCCGUCUGGUCGGCCAUCGAGACUUGGGUUGACGAGUACUGCAGGAUCUACUAUCCCUGUGAUGACGUGCUUCGGUCCGACGUCGAGCUACAGGCAUGGUGGAAGGAGGUGCGUGAGGUCGGCCAUGGCGACAUCAAAGACCAGCCCUGGUGGCCCAAGAUGACAACCUUGAACGAGCUCGUCAGGUCAUGCGCCACCAUCAUCUGGAUCGCCUCUGCGUUGCAUGCCGCCGUCAACUUUGGCCAGUACUCGUACGCCGGCUACCUCCCCAACCGUCCGACGGUGAGCCGACGGCAGAUGCCGGAGCCGGGCACCAAGGAGUACAAGGAGGUGGAGACUGACCCAGACCUGGCCUUCAUCCACACCAUCACGAGCCAGCUCCAAAGCAUCAUUGGAGUGUCCGUGAUCGAGGUCCUGUCCAACCACUCCUCCGACGAAGUCUACCUGGGGCAGCGCGAUGAGCCAAAGUGGACAUCAGAUAUCAAGGCGAAAAAGGCGUUCGAGGACUUCAGCCAGAAGUUGAUCGACAUCGAGAAGAGAAUCAUGAACAUGAACGCGAAUCGUCAACUCAAGAACCGGAAUGGGCCAGCAAAAUUCCCCUACAUGCUGCUCUACCCCAACACAUCUGACAUCGAUGGUGAGAGCGCCACCGGGAUCACGGCCAAGGGCAUCCCCAACAGCAUCUCCAUCUGA
rnacentral:rRNA from 1 species